UGGGUAGAUGAAUUAGCUAGAUGGGUGUGAUAAAUAUACUAUGUAAAGGUCUUAAACAUGCUAAUAGUUGGGUAGAUGAAUUAGCUAGAUGGGUGUGAUAAAUAUACUAUGUAAAGGUCUUAAACAUACUAAUAGUUGGGUUAGAUGAAUUAGCUAGAUGGGUGUGAUAAAUAUACUAUGUAAAGGUCUUAAACAUGCUAAUAGUUGGGUAGAUGAAUUAGCUAGAUGGGUGUGAUAAAUAUACUAUGUAAAGGUCUUAAACAUACUAAUAGUUGGGUAGAUGAAUUAGCUAGAUGGGUGUGAUAAAUAUA